CCCUACGGGACGCAGCAGUGAGGAAUAUUGGUCAAUGGUCGGGAGACUGGACCAGCCAAGCCGCGUGAGGGAGGAAGGUACAGAGUAUCGUAAACCUCUUUUGUCAGGGAACAAAGGCGGGGACGUGUCCCCGGAUGAGUGUACCUGAAGAAAAAGCAUCGGCUAACUCCGUGCCAGCAGCCGCGGUAAUACGGAGGAUGCGAGCGUUAUCCGGAUUUAUUGGGUUUAAAGGGUGCGCAGGCGGUCUGUUAAGUCAGCGGUCAAAGCCCGGGGCUCAACCCCGGCCCGCCGUUGAAAACGGCAGG
rnacentral:rRNA from 1 species